rnacentral:rRNA from 1 species
GAGAGAGACAUGCGCGCAUAUCAAUAAGCGGAGGAAAAGAAACUAACAAGGAUUCCCUUAGUAACGGCGAGUGAAGCGGGAAGAGCUCAAAUUUGAAAUCUUCAAGGUUUUACCUUGACGAAUUGUAGUUUAAAGAAGUGUUUUCUGCUGAAGUUUUGGUAAAAGUUCUUUGGAAUAGGACAUCAUAGAGGGUGAGAAUCCCGUAUUUGACCAUUAUUUUCAGCUUUGUGAUACACUUUCAAAGAGUCGGAUUGUUUGGGAAUGCAGUCCAAAAUGGGUGGUAAAUUUCAUCUAAAGCUAAAUAUUGGCGAGAGACCGAUAGCGAACAAGUACCGUGAGGGAAAGAUGAAAAGAACUUUGAAAAGAGAGUUAAACAGUACGUGAAAUUGUCAAAAGGGAAGCGUUUGACACCAGUGUUGUUUUCUCGAAAAUCAAUUAAAAAUGGCUCGAUUCUGUAUUGCUUGAGACCUUAAAAGCUCACUGUACAUUUUUCGUGUCUUUUUUAAUGCACUUUUCGUUUAACAAGUCAACAUCAGUUUCUUUUGUUGUAAAAGGGUCAUUGGAAGGUGGCUUUCUUUUCGGAGAAAGUGUUUAUAGCCUUUGGCCUCUGCAAUCGGAGAGACUGAGGUCUGCAGCGUAGACUCUUCGGGGUUAGAUACAUUUGUGCUAAGUUAUAGCUUUUUAUAGACAACUUGUUGACUAUAAUUAGUCUUGUAGCUUACUCGCUUAUGCUAUUUUACCUACGCUUAGGAUGUUGAAGUCAUCGUAUCGCGC